rnacentral:lncRNA from 1 species
GAUUAAGAGUAUCCAUGUGCUUCAAUGUGUGAGCAGACCUUAGAUGAAGAGUUGCUUCACUAAGAGAGUUUAUUAGCAUGGGUUUAGGUUCAUUGUCCUUCAGUUCUUGAAUGCGUUCAGGAUCUUCAAACUUCUUAGGUCUUCUUGAACUUUCCCAAUUCUCUGCAUUAAUCAAGAGAUAAGACUUCUGGUCAAUCAACAGCUGAAUAUUCUCUUAAAAUACGUUCAGGAUCUUCAAAUUUCUUAGGUCUUUUUGAACUUUCCCAAUUUUCUGCGUUAACCAAAAGAUAAGAUUUCUGGUCAAUCAACAGUUGAAGAUUCUCCGCAGCCUCAUGAACUUCUUCGAGAGGGUCUCCAGGGAAUAGUUUCUCCAUCUUUUCUACUUU